rnacentral:misc_RNA from 1 species
AUGAGUCAACUUACCUGCCAG